rnacentral:rRNA from 1 species
UGAGGAAUAUUGGUCAAUGGGCGAGAGCCUGAACCAGCCAAGUAGCGUGCAGGAUGACGGCCCUAUGGGUUGUAAACUGCUUUUAUAUGGGAAUAAAGUGAGGGACGUGUCCCUUAUUGCAUGUACCAUACGAAUAAGGACCGGCUAAUUCCGUGCCAGCAGCCGCGGUAAUACGGAAGGUCCAGGCGUUAUCCGGAUUUAUUGGGUUUAAAGGGAGCGUAGGCUGUUUGUUAAGCGUGUUGUGAAAUGUAGGAGCUCAACUUUUAGAAUGCAGCGAGAAGUGGCAGACUUGAGUGCGCACAACGUAGGCGGAAUUCAUGGUGUAGCGGUGAAAUGCUUAGAUAUCAUGACGAACUCCGAUUGCGAAGGCAGCUUACGGGAGCGCAACUGACACUAAAGUUCGAAGGUGCGGGUAUCGAACAGG